rnacentral:rRNA from 1 species
AGAGUUUGAUCAUGGCUCAGAAUCAACGCUGGCGGCAUGCCUAACACAUGCAAGUCGAGCGAGAAAGUGUAGCAAUACAUGAGUAAAGCGGCGCACGGGUGAGUAACACGUGGAUAACCUGCCUCAAAGUGGGGAAUAACACCGGGAAACCGGUGCUAAUACCGCAUAUUCUGAUGAGAUCUGCGGAUUUUGUCAGGAAAGGAGCAAUUCGCUAUGAGAGGGGUCCGCGGCUGAUUAGCUAGUUGGUGAGGUAAUGGCUCACCAAGGCAACGAUCAGUAGCCGGUCUGAGAGGACGGUCGGCCACACUGGAACUGAGACACGGUCCAGACUCCUACGGGAGGCAGCAGUGGGAAUUUUUCGCAAUGGGGGCAACCCUGACGAAGCAAUGCCGCGUGGAUGAUGAAGUAUUUCGGUACGUAAAAUCCUUUCGACAGGGACGAAACCGCAAGGUUGACGGUACCUGUAGAAGAAGCCCCGGCU